rnacentral:rRNA from 1 species
UACGAAGGGGGCUAGCGUUGUUCGGAAUUACUGGGCGUAAAGCGCACGUAGGCGGAUACUUAAGUCAGGGGUGAAAUCCCGGGGCUCAACCCCGGAACUGCCUUUGAUACUGGGUAUCUCGAGUCCGGAAGAGGUGAGUGGAAUUCCGAGUGUAGAGGUGAAAUUCGUAGAUAUCGGGAGGAACACCAGUGGCGAAGGCGGCGAUCUGGGAAGAUACUGACGCUGAGGUGCGAAAGCGUGGGGAGCAAACAGG